CCCAGAGUCACUAGGAGAAAUCACCAAAACUAAAGAUGAGUGCCCUGCCUUACUGCUUCCUUCUGUGGCUGCAGCUGCCUAACCUAGGUGAUGGGACUGCUUAUCUCCAUCCAUCACACAGGGAGCCUCUGGUACACAACAGGUUGAACACCAGCAUUCUUUCUCCCCUUCCAAACAGCUGCCUGGUGUUGGAUGUGCAUGUGGCUGUAAUCUUGCUGAUGGCUGAAAGAGAGGAAGAAAGCCAAUAUGUGAAUUCAUGCCCAAAGAGAAAGGACUCCUGUGAAACUGAAAAGGUGUACACUGUGCUCAGUAGUAUGGCUGAGAAAGAGUAUUUUUCUCAGGAAUGGUCCAGAAUUUUUUUUUUUCUUCUUUCAUUCCAAAUAGGAUUUCAAAUAGUACUUUGACAUUUUCU
rnacentral:lncRNA from 1 species